GACGUAGGGCGCGAGCGUUGUCCGGAUUUAUUGGGCGUAAAGAGCUCGUAGGCGGCUUGUCACGUCGGGUGUGAAAAUCCGGGGCUCAACUCCGGACUUGCAGUGGGUACGGGCAGGCUAGAGUGUGGUAGGGGAGACUGGAAUUCCUGGUGUAGCGGUGAAAUGCGCAGAUACUCAGGAGGAACACCGGUGGCGAAGGCGGGUCUCUGGGCAACAACUGACGCUGAGGAGCGAAAGCGUGGGGAGCGAACAGG
rnacentral:rRNA from 1 species